GACGAACGCUGGCGGCAGGCCUAACACAUGCAAGUCGAGCGAGCGGCGGGCGGGUGAGUAAUGUAUGGGGACUGCCCGAUAGAGGGGGCUAACUACUGGAAACGGUGGCUAAUACCGCAUACUUUAGGUUUACCCAUAUGGGAUUAGCUAGUGGGUGGGGUAAAGGCUCACCUAGGCGACGAUCCCUAGCUGGUCUGAGAGGAUGAUCAGCCACACUGUGACUGAGACACGGCCCAGACGCCUACGGAGGCAGCAGUGGGGAAUAUUGCGCAAUGGGCGCAAGCCUGAUGCAGCCAUGCCGCGUGUGUGAAGAAGGCCUUAGGGUUGUAAAGUACUUUCAGCGGGGAGGCGUUACCCGCAGAGGAAGCACCGGCUAACUCCGUGCCAGCAGCCGCGGUAAUUC
rnacentral:rRNA from 1 species